UUUUUUUUUUUUUAAAUGGCUGCACCCACUCACAUGAAAGUUGCCGGAGCAGGGGUUGAAUCCAAGCCACAGCUGUGACCUGUGCCACAGCUGUGCCAAUGCUGGAUCCUGUAACCCACAGUGCUGGGCUAGGGAGCAAACCCAUGCCUCCACAACAAUCUGAGCAGCUGCAGUUGGAUUCUUAACCUACUGCACCACGAGUGGGAACGCCUUUAUAGGUUCUUUUUAAAGAAGAUGGACAGGUUAAUUAUCUAAGAGCUUGGUAUGGCCUAGUGUUUUUCGAGACCUAUUGCUACCAUGACUCUGCUUAUUAAAUUUAUAAGCAUUAGGUCUAUUAAAAUAUUUUGGGGGGGGGAGCCUCGCCUAUGGCAUGUGAGCCAGGAAUCAAACCUGAGCCACUGCAGCUAUCUGAGCCACAGCAGUGACAACACUGGGUCCUUUACCUGCUGAACCAUCUAUGAAAGUAUACUGAAGCCAUGUUGGAGCAUCAUAUACUCCUCUCCUGUUUCCAGGAAUUAUAGGGUUGUGGUGUUGGGUUUUUGUUAUUGUUGUUGUUGUUGUUACCAAUUGCUAUAUAACAACUCAUUCCAAAAAUAUAGCUUGAAACAACAACCGAAUGGUUAUCGCUCACCGUUCUGCAAUCUGAGUUGGGCUCAGCUGGAUGGUUCUUCUGCUGUUCUUGCUGGUGGUCACUCAUGCGGCUGCAUUAGUUGGCAGAUUGGCUGGAGGCUGGGUUCACCCUGGGACUUGGGGUGGCCAAGCUUCCCUCUCUUUCCCUGUAGUCUCUGUGCCUCUCCCUUCCAAAUGGACUGUCCAUGUGAUUUCUCCAGCAGGGUAGCUGGACUCCUUACACAGUAGUUCAGGGCUCUUCCAACCAUUAAGGCAGGAGUAUCCAGGUCUUCUUUGGCUUAAGGCUGGAACUGGCACAACAGCAUCUGUGCUAUCAUCUACCAAUUAAAGCAGGUCUCGGGCCAACUCAGAUUCAAGAAAGGGUAAGGGUGGGGGCGCCGCAAAGGCAUGAAUACUGAGAGCCAUGAUUCAUUAUGAGCCACCAAAAUGAUGGGCCACCACAAGAGUCUGAACAUUUUUCAAUGGGCAACUACAUCCCCCAUGUCUAACACAAUGCUUGGUUCAUAGCAGGGUCUCAGUAAAUAUCUGUUGAGUGAAUACUCCUGAAGCAUCUGGCUGAUGCGCAUAUAAGCAGCACCACUGGAAUGUAGAAGUUCAGGUUCUGAAGGCAGCGUCUGAGCAGAUACCUGCAAAGUCCCAUGUAGAGCAGCACCAUUUGUUUGUGAUGUGUUGGGGGGUGUUGGGGUCAUUUGCACAUCAGUGAGAUACCACGCUACUUCUCAAAAGGCAUCACCUCUUAUUAUAUCCUUCCUGGGAAUCUAUUCAAAACACACACUAGACAAUAAAUAAAUUGCAGCAUUUACUUUCUGUGGAAACAAAGGGGAAGUUCUUUGAGGAGAGUGGUUAGUGUGGAAGGAGGCCAGAGGUUUCAUUGUUCUAGUUAGUCGAGGAAGACUUCCUGGAAGAGGUGGUUUCAGGAACUCUAUGAAUAAUGGAAGAAGACAGAGGUUGACUGAAGGAUGUUCUGGGCCAGUGAUAGGGCUUUAAAAAAAAAAAAAUCCAAGACAUAAGAAUAAGAUGGAUGAAAGGAGUGAUGAAUAACUGUUUACCAAGAAUGAAGGGCCAAUUUAGGAAGGAAUUUAACAAAACAGGCCAGGCACUACCUGCAAAAGUUUGGCAGUGCCUGCAAUAUUUCUCCAAAGGUUGAGCAUUACUGAGUCUGAGACUCACUGUCACUCCACUGCUCAGCCCCCCCGCCGCCAUCUGUCUUCCCAGUCACUUCUGGAGGGCUUCAGAUCAAGGCACAGAAGUGAACAUGGCUGGAUCUCUCUGGUUCACAGGUAACAGGGCGCAGCAAAGCACAGCCUCAAAGACAUCAUGUUUAAAGGUGGCUUCCAUGGAAAGUAACAUGGAAACCAGGAGGCGGCAACCUGGGAGAGCCCCAGCUCCCUAGAGCUCCAUGCCACAUUGAGGAGAGCAUCCCUGAAGAAGCCAGAGCGCCUUCACAGUCCUCGGGGCUUGCCCCUGCCAGGGAACAUGCUGCGAGGGGCACGGCGAGGUCCCUCAGACCUGUUCUCUGUGGCUCUUCCUUUCAUGAUGAACAUGAUGGGAACCGACCGGGAAGUGGGCAGGGGGCCUUCAUGAUUUUUCCUGCUUGAUCCACCACCCUUGAGUAACCAGCAAAUUCCUGGAACUGCCUUUACCGUUUGUGGCUCUUAUUAGCAACCACACUCUUGAGUCACACAGCCAGUAAUCUUACUGAAUUUUUGCCAUAUGAAUCCUAAGCCAGGCUCCAUGAGGAGGCCCAUACAGUCAGGAGCGAGACGAAGCCCCUCAAGUCAUCCAAUCUCGCUCUCUUGGUAUCAGGAAAGAGAAUGAGUCAGCUAGUUGUUAGGGAGAAUACGCCUGGCUCACAGCCUCUUAGAAGGGUCCAGGGAUACCCCAAAGUGAUCACAUGAUUGGAAAAUCAGACUCCAAUGGCAAAAAGCAAGAGCCUUGAUUGAUUCACUGCAGAGGAGAGCAAGGGGAAGGUGCAGUGGUUCCGUUAGGUCUGUGCAAGACUGUCCGACAGGAGAGAGGCCAGCGACUCUCUGCCACUGCCGGGGAGAGGACAAGAGGAAAUGGGUUUGAAGAACAGCAUGUGGAACCGAAAAUAACCAUGAAGAACUGCUGACCAUCAGCGUUGUUAAUUCCUGGCAUACUGAGGAUGGGUACAGACUCUCCAUAAGGAAAAAAAAAAA
rnacentral:lncRNA from 1 species